rnacentral:rRNA from 1 species
UACGUAGGGGGCAAGCGUUGUCCGGAUUUAUUGGGCGUAAAGAGCGUGUAGGCGGCCUGACAGGUCUGCUGUGAAAACUCGAGGCUCAACCUCGAGAUGUCGGCGGAAACCGUCUGGCUAGAGUCCGGAAGAGGAGAGUGGAAUUCCUGGUGUAGCGGUGAAAUGCGCAGAUAUCAGGAAGAACACCUAUGGCGAAGGCAGCUCUCUGGG